GCGUCCAUGGUGGAAUUGGUAGACACAAGGGACUUAAAAUCCCUCGCUUCGAGCGUCCCGGUUCGAGUCCGGGUGGACGCACCA
rnacentral:tRNA from 1 species